GGGAGAUAGCUCAGUCAGUAAACCGCUUGCCUUGCAAGCACGAAGACCUAAGUUCGAUACUCAGUACCCA
rnacentral:tRNA from 1 species